rnacentral:snoRNA from 1 species
UCUGUCUCUAGAGGCCUUGCAGGUGUGGCUCCUGUGUCACCUGUGUGUGAGUAGGUGGCAGAGAGGAGAGAGGCUAUGUCUAAGCUCAGUGCUCUGACGUGUGAACAUCUGGAUGAUUAGUAGCCCAGAAU